CGGCCGCAGCCGGGCGCGCAGGGGAAGUGCGAGGGAGGGUUUGGUGGGGAUUGGUUUCUGUCCUCUGAGGUAGAUGGCGGCUUGGGCCGCGGCGUGCUGCCGGGAGGGAGUAACGCAGCGCUUUGUGGUGGCUGUUAGGCUCCUGUGGUUGGCGUUAGCCCGUGUCCCAGUCGAGUCUGUGCCGGCUGUGGUAAUGCUGGGUGCAAGAUGAGCAAAUAUCAGACUCAGAAUUGCAGAAGGGAGCCCUGCAGGAGACUACUCCGGACUUCGACUCAGAGCAGGGCCUGGUUCAGUUUGGAAGGUCUCCAAGCACAGGCUCCAAAACCCGUGUGCAACCUGUGCCGGCCAUCAACUACCCUCCUUGUAUUAAAUAUAUAUAUUCAAUUUCUGUUAUCUCAGUUUGUCCCCUUUGCAUCUCCUCCUGUCAAUGGUCACCACUGAGAAGUCUGGCUGUGUCGUCACUCCCUCUCAUCAGGUGCUUACACACAGUGCUGAGGUCCCCAGGCUGUCUCUCUCAGGGUGAGCGGUCCCAGCUCUCUGACUGUCCUCGUGUGACAGACUCACAUUUCCAAACACUGCAGAUAGAUGUCUUCAGUGAAUGACUUAUUAAAAGAAUAUGUAGGGGAGGCAAAGAAAAAAGAAUUUGCUGUAUUCAUCAUAAAGAAGAACAAAGGUUGUGAGUCCAAACUUAAAAAAAAGACUUGCAUUUCACCUGUAAUAUAACCAACAGCAAUUGAUUUAUGGCACUCCUAAUACAGGGCAGGAGAACCAACAGCCUCUUGAAGUUCACCCUCAGCUUUCACUGACUUUCUUCUGUGGCAGCCUGGACAGUAUUGUGCAGUUUUUGAUCUGUAUUAAGUUAUAACAUGUCAUCAUUUUAUUAUCAAAGGGAAUGACUCAACCUUGCCACCAUUUGUAGGGUUUGAUUUCCCAGGCAACAAUACAGUUUAUUACAGUGCUAAAAUUAAUUAUAUCUGCCCUCUUAAUAUAUGCUUGGGGCUCAAUAUGUGAACCACCAUUUUCAAAACAAAGGGAUUUAUGUCUCGGAUCAGGUAUCAUAAAAGAACAGCUGUAACAAAUAAAGCACAGCUCUGUUAUGAAUCUAAGUAGUUCCUUCUGUUAGAAAUUUUUGAAUGCUUGAUUUAUGUGAAAAAUGACUUAAUGUGCUUGCAUUUACGAAAAUUCUAGCAUGACAAUUUAUUAUUUGUGAGCUGUAUUAACAAUCACCAUUUAUUUGUCUAAGAUUUCAGAUUCUUAAGCAUUUGGAAGAGAAAGUUGGAAAUUAUCUGGAAAUGAAAAUGCAGUGACGUGCUCUGUAGGCUGGCGUGCAGAAUGCAGGCUGUGCUGGAGACAGCGCUGUGGCUCAGCAACGCUCAGUGAAGGGCUCCCACCAUGUGAGGCCGAGGUCCCACACCUACCCGGGUUAGUCUGACUGCUCCCUGUUGCCUGUCCCUACCCUCAGUCAUGGGAUUUCUUUUCUCCUUUCUGCCAGGCGUGUCCCUUAUUAGAUGCUUCCAAGAACAAGUUAAAUUCCCUAAUUUAGGAGAAAGCUAUCCAACUGGGAGUUAGUUUUAUGUCACCGUAUUGCAUUUGGCACGUUCUGAGCAGAUUCCAUGGUUACUAGACCUGGUGCAAGAUGAGAGGUGAAGUGUGUGCCCAGGAGCGAUGGGGAGUGGGAGGGGAGAACAGGACUGCAGCAGGGUCUGACCCAUUGCUGGCAGUGAGAUGGUCAAUUGCUUCACCCACUCUUUGCCUUGUCGUAGAUUCUGGGUGGUGAGGGACGCCCUUUGCUUCUCCAGAAUGCUGUGUUCAGUGCAAGCAUUGGUACACACUGAAAGAAAAUGAAAGGUUUUUGCUGAGAUUGUGAGCUGGAGUGUGAUGCUAUAUACGAGCCUGUAUACAAGUUUCUGUUAACGCCCGUUCCCAUAGAAGUGGUUAUGUAAAUAGUGAACUUUAAUUGCUUACUGGGACAUCUCCGAAAGGUAUGAAUGAGAUCAUGUGCUGGUGCCAUUGGGGCAUGGGACUGGGCAAACCUGCCGCAGCCGUGUAGGGAAGAGCCUGUUGGUCAAGUAGCCUCCUGGGCAAUGAAACAAUUACUGCACGUUGUGAUUGAAAGGGGGAAAACAAAAAAAGCAAGUUGAUGUUGUAUUACUUAAAACUUCCCAAGGCUCCCCCAUGGCUUGCAGGCUGCUUUUGUGAGUUCCUGCUAACCACAACUACAUACUAUUCCUUAACUUUGUGUGGUUGUGUAUGUGUCCAGAAAAGCAUGUUUGAUAGAGGACUUGGUCUUUGUCUUAAUUGUGGAAAGUUCAAUUUGCAUAUUUUGGCAAGAGCACAAUCAUCUUCUGAAUAUCUUUGCAGUCGGCCUGGAAAGCAGAAACUCAAAUUUGAUGGAGUUGCUACUGCAGACAAGCUUUACCUGCUGGUGGAAGAACAACACUGCAUUUUCUUUGCAAAUGUGAUUGCUGGUAUUUCCUACAUUCUGUGUUUUGGUAGCAUCCUUCCAGUACCUGAAGUGGGCCUCCAGGAAAGCUGGGGAGGCAUUUUUUGUAAAGGCAUGUAGCAACACAACGAGGGGAAAUGGCUUUAAACUGGAAGAGAGUAGAUUUAGCCUAGAUAUUAGGAAGAAAUUCUUUACUGUGAGGGUGGCGAGACACUGGAACAGGUUUUGCCCAGUGAGGCUGUGGAUGUCCCCUCCCUGGAGGCAUUCAAGGCCAGGCUGGAGGGGGCUGUGAUCAACCUGAUCUAGAGGGAGAUGUCCCUGCCUAUAGCAGGGGGGUUGGAACUAGAUGAUCUUAAAGGCCCCUUCCUACCCAAACCAUUCUGGGAUUCAUAUAAUUCAUAUGAUUCAUCACAGGUACACUUUAUAUUCAGAAUGCUCUAUGUACGUUAGAUUCCACUACAGUUUUAAUGUCCUGCAUUCUGUACCAAAGUUGAUGUGGAUUUCAAACAACCUUUAGAAAAGUUUUCAUUAAAGCUUCUCUUGAUUAAGAUA